GCUCAGUGAACAGCACUUCCGGGACCUGCAUCACCAGAAGGGGGACAUCUAUCUUGGCCACAAACCAUCUUUGACAGUCUUCGACAGCAUGGUUGAAUCAGGCGCAUCAACACAUGAUAUAGACAUCGUGUCCAAAAGAAGAGCGAGACGUAAUCCUGAGGCUGAAGCCACCGAGUUUAUUUGAUCUGGAUGUGACAAGUCUUGUUUUAAGGCCCAGUGGAUCAAUGAUUGGAAAGACACCAACUGUUGAUGUUCUAUCUCAACAUUCUCCAGACUCAUGUGAGCGAUAAACCGACUUCAUCCCUCCAACAGACACCAACUGUUGGGGUUCUAUCUCAACAUUCUCCAGAUUCAGAUGUGAGCGAUAAACCGACUUCAUCCCUCCAACAGAAACCAACUGUUGAGGUUCCAUCUCAACAUUCUCCAGAUUCAGAUGUGAGCCAUUAACUGACUUCAUCCCUCCAACAGGUUAUUACAUGUCUAUUUUUACUAUAUCUGCUCUAAAUUUGACCCAACCUAUAUUUUGAAAGACAUUUAUUUAUUUUAAUCUCUCACAGAUCAGUUUAUAUGACAACUUUUUCGCAAGGGUACAUCCAUGUUAGUCAGUAGAAAGUUUAGAACUCAUGUUUAGCAAAACAGGAGAUGUUACAAGUCAACAACAUAAAUUCUACA